GUAGGAAAACAAAGUUGCACUGAUUUGACAAGGACGGGGGCAGUGGAAGGAGCGUGGCAUGGGUACAGUCAGGCUUCUCAAACGGACAACCAAGGUCCGCCUUGUCAUGCGACAUGCCAAGAGCCUCAGGAUCUGCGGCAAGCACCUUGGCUGGCAGUCACCUGCAGGCUAAUGUGACGAGGUGAUGAGAUACACGAGGGGUGGGAGAAGGACUGCAGGAGGACAUGCCCUGUUUUAGAUCCACCCGAUCAUUCCAAGUUUUUGCAAGGAGUUUGGAUUACCCUGAAGACUUCUUUUAGGAUCUUGAAUUACUCUGAGCAAUUCGCACAAGAGUUGAGAGUAUAGUCUGAACACUAGCCAUAGUGUGCCACGACGACCACUUGCAUACAGGAGCCUCGCGGCGCGGUCAUCUUUCCUUUCUCCUCCUCCAGCCCCCUUCCUUUAGCUCUCAUUGUAGCUUUUAUGUGCAAGAGAUUUGAUCAUGGGCAUAAGCAAACAGUUUCACAUUUCAUUGGUGCACGCGCAUGAAAAAUGAACUUGGAAGGAUUUCUUUUCUAAGGUGAUUUUUUUUCA